CCUACGGGGUGCAGCAGUGAGGAAUAUUGGUCAAUGGGCGCGAGCCUGAACCAGCCAAGCCGCGUGAGGGAAGACGGUCCUAUGGAUUGUAAACCUCUUUUGUCGGGGAGCAAAAGACGCCACGCGUGGCGUUCCGAGAGUACCCGAAGAAAAAGCAUCGGCUAACUCCGUGCCAGCAGCCGCGGUUAUACGGAGGAUGCGAGCGUUAUCCGGAUUUAUUGGGUUUCAAGGGUGCGCAGGCGGAAGAUCAAGUCAGCGGUAAAAUUGAGGGGCUCAACCUCUGCGAGCCGUUGAAACUGGUUGUCUUGAGUUGGUGAGAGGUAUGCGGAAUGCGGGGUGUAGCGGUGAAAUGCAUAGAUAUCACGCAGAACUCCGAUUGCGAAGGCAGCAUACCGGCGCUCAACUGACGCUCAGGCACGAAAGUGUGGGUAUCGAACAGGAUUAGAUACCCCGGUAGUC
rnacentral:rRNA from 1 species